rnacentral:lncRNA from 1 species
GAGGGGGGCGUGGGACUGGAGGAGACGGCAGAGAGAACGAGGGAAGCGGACGCCAUUGGCAAUGUCGAUGUGGAUGAGCGGGAAUGUAAGUUAAUACAGAGUCCGAGCCUGGCAGAAAGAUUGGCAUAACUAUUAUCUUUUUAGCCAUCGCCUAUGAUUAAACCCAAAACAUCCCAAAUCUAGAACCCCAUCAUGCACCCGGUUCUUGGUUCGUAUAGACCCAUAAAUCAUAAAUCGAUUUAAUAGGACCCCAAAAGUAGAAAAUGUGAUGUUACAAAAUAGAGUAGUACAAGAGGUGAGUAUCAACUGUGUAACAAUAGAUCACUACCGUGCGAUUGCCUCGCGAGGUUUCGGAGGAAACUGGUAAGGGACUUUUGAGCCCUUAGUAGCGCAAUGCUAGCUUCUCUCUCAUUUUUAUUAGUAGCGGCUGGUUGUUACUGAAUCGACUAUACAUUCCGUACAAGCUUUCGGAGCUCCUAAUAUAAGUACAACAAAGAAAAGUAUUACUCAUAAACAUGGAACCUAAAAAUGAUUUUGACAAUGUGACGGGGAUGUCAACCACACUAACUACUGGCAAGUGGCAAUUGGCAAAUGCAAAUUUCACCAACAGGCAAUGUUUUUAUAGGCACUAAAGAACGACCUAAACAUUGUGAAGUUUGUGCAUGCCAAGGGAGGCCCAUAUAUAAUGGUGUACAAGCUGGAGGAAUGAAUUAGCCCGACCGACUAUACCUUGUGCCCGACUGACUAUGGCUUGUGCAAAUGUUACCCAUAUCCCAUGUUUUAUGGUGUGUGCUUAUGAAAAACGACCAAUUGGUUUAUGAUGUUAAAAGCAGAAUGUUAAAUGAGUACAGAUUAGGCAACCCAUGGAGCUUUUUCCUCUUUCUUUUUAUUUCAGCCGGCAUGGAUUUGUUCAAGUAGUUAUAAAUGGACCUCGAGAGAUUCGAAUACUCCAACAAUAGAACUAAAAGCUCAGGCUGUAGGAGAUAUCUGUCGACUUACUUGCCGAUCAAAAUCAACGGUGUGAAUGGAGUAAACUUCGUUGGUUAUUUGAAAGUCUUUACUGAUUAAACCGCCAAACCACCUGCUUGCAUGCUCACUGGACUCCU